rnacentral:misc_RNA from 1 species
GAAAUGCGAUAAUUAAUGUGAAUUGCAGAAUUCAGUGAAUCUUCGAGUCUUUGAACGCACAUUGCGCCCCCUGGUAUUCCGGGGGGCAUGCCUGUCCGAGCGUCAUUGCUGCCCUCAAGCACGGCUUGUGUGUUGGGCUUCCGUCCCUGGCAACGGGGACGGGCCCAAAAGGCAGUGGCGGCACCAUGUCUGGUCCUCGAGCGUAUGGGGCUUUGUCACCCGCUCCCGUAGGUCCAGCUGGCAGCUAGCCUCGCAACCAAUCUUUUUAACCAGGUUGACCUCGGAUCAGGUAGGGAUACCCGCUGAACUUAAGC